UACGAAGGGGGCGAGCGUUGUUCGGAUUUACUGGGCGUAAAGGGCGCGCAGGCGGCGGAUCAAGUCAGACGUGAAAGCCCCGGGCUUAACCUGGGAACUGCGUUUGGGACUGAUUUGCUAGAGAUCGGGAGAGGAGAGUGGAAUUCCCAGUGUAGAGGUGAAAUUCGUAGAUAUUGGGAAGAACACCGGUGGCGAAGGCGGCUCUCUGGACCGAUACUGACGCUGAGGCGCGGAAAGCGUGGGGAGCAAACAGG
rnacentral:rRNA from 1 species